UGGGGAAUAUUGCACAAUGGGGGAAACCCUGAUGCAGCGACGCCGCGUGAGUGAAGAAGCGCCUCGGCGCGUAAAGCUCUGUCAGCAGGAACGAUAAUGACGGUACCUGAAGAAGAAGCCCCGGCUAACUACGUGCC
rnacentral:rRNA from 1 species